CUUGGUCAUUUAGAGGAAGUAAAAGUCGUAACAAGGUUUCCGUAGGUGAACCUGCGGAAGGAUCAUUAUUGAAAAACUUCUCAAGUUUUUAAUAUCCUAUUGUCUACCUACCAUGUUGCUUCCACUGGACGUGUUUUACCUUGUGUAAGACCUUUGGCUUGUGUGAAUAACCCAAGUCAGGGAGUUGCCAGUGGCAAGACCAUCUACCAAAACUUGCUUAAAAUACUACUGUCUGAAUCUUUUGCUUCAAUGAAAUAAAACUUUCAACAACAGAUCUCUAGGCUCUUGCAUCGAUGAAGAACGCAGUGAAAUGCGAUAAGUAAUGUGAAUUGCAGAAUCUCGUGAAUCAUCGAAUCUUUGAACGCACAUUGCGCCCUAUGGUAUUCCGUAGGGCAUGCCUGUCUGAGCGUCAGCUCCCCCCCCACUCAAGUAUCUUUACUUUUUUGAUUCUUGGACUGAUUUGGAGAGGUGUCUUGUCAUGUAGACGCCCUCCAGAAAUUCAUAGGCAGUAUGGUUUGCACCUGAACCAGACGUAAUAAUAAUAAAAUCGUUUGUUUGGGUAUGAUUGUGCUUGCCUUAACCCACCCAUUUCUUUGUUUGGGUGACCUCAGAUCAGGUAGGGAUACCCGCUGAACUUAAGCAUAUCAAUAAGCGGAGGA
rnacentral:rRNA from 1 species